UGCCAGCCGCCGCGGUAAUACGGAGGGAGCUAGCGUUGUUCGGAAUUACUGGGCGUAAAGCGCGCGUAGGCGGUUAUCCAAGUCAGGGGUGAAAUCCCGGAGCUCAACUCCGGAACUGCCCUUGAAACUAGGUAACUAGAAUACUGGAGAGGUGAGUGGAAUUCCGAGUGUAGAGGUGAAAUUCGUAGAUAUUCGGAAGAACACCAGUGGCGAAGGCGACUCACUGGACAGUUAUUGACGCUGAGGUGCGAAAGCGUGGGGAGCAAACAGGAUUAGAUA
rnacentral:rRNA from 1 species